AGCAGUUUAGUUGAUCGAGAUCUAAUAUGGCGUGCGUUGACUCAAUAAUAUUUUAAAGAUUUAUUAAGUUCUGCGUGUUUCAAGGGCAUUUAUGAAUGUGCUGGCAGUCAUAUCUGUAGUGUUGUCUCAGCACUUGAAAUGUCAUGGAAGAGAUGAUGUUUUACAGUGGAUCUGAGGGUGAAGAGCUUCCUCUAAUGGAUACUGAGUGACAACCCACUGAGGAGUUGAAUUUUGUUUAUUUCACUGGUUGCAUCAUGGCGGAGCAGAGGGCUCUCACCGACACCAUCCCUGACCAGCAGCAGCUGCAGAUCCAAGGGCAAGUACAGCAAGGACACGCACAGUCAACUCCACAUCAUCAGCAGCAACAACGACAAAUUCAUCUGCAUCAACAACACCAACAGCA
rnacentral:lncRNA from 1 species